rfam:Gossypium hirsutum cultivar TM-1 chromosome 8, whole genome shotgun sequence
AAUGCAUGAUGAAGACACCUUCUCAACAAAUCUUUAAAUCCUUCCCGUGUUUUAUAAAGUGUCUCAACAUCGAACUGAACAAAAGAAGAGAUGUCAUUCCUCAACUU